AAUAAACGCUGGCGGCGUGCUUAACACAUGCAAGUCGAGCGGUAAGGCCUUUCGGGGUACACGAGCGGCGAACGGGUGAGUAACACGUGGGUGACCUGCCCUCCACUCUGGGAUAAGCCCGGGAAACGGGGUCUAAUACCGGAUAUGACCUUCUCCGGCAUGGGGGUGGGUGGAAAGUUUUUCGGUGGGGGAUGGGCCCGCGGCCUAUCAGCUUGUUGGUGGGGUGAUGGCCUACCAAGGCGACGACGGGUAGCCGGCCUGAGAGGGCGACCGGCCACACUGGGACUGAGACACGGCCCAGACUCCUACGGGAGGCAGCAGUGGGGAAUAUUGCGCAAUGGGCGAAAGCCUGACGCAGCGACGCCGCGUGGGGGAUGACGGCCUUCGGGUUGUAAACCUCUUUCGCCAGGGACGAAGCGCAAGUGACGGUACCUGGAUAAGAAGCACCGGCCAACUACGUGCCAGCCGCCGCAGUAA
rnacentral:rRNA from 1 species